rnacentral:rRNA from 1 species
GUGGGGAAUCUUCCACAAUGGACGAAAGUCUGAUGGAGCAACGCCGCGUGAGUGAAGAAGGGUUUCGGCUCGUAAAGCUCUGUUGUCGGGGACGAAUGUGCAGUAUUUGAAUAAAGUACUGUAAUGACGGUACCUGACGAGGAAGCCACGGCUAACUACGUGCCAGCAGCCGCGGUAAUACGUAGGUGGCAAGCGUUGUCCGGAAUUAUUGGGCGUAAAGGGAGCGCAGGCGGGAAGGUAAGUCGGUCUUAAAAGUGCGGGGCUCAACCCCGUGAUGGGAUCGAAAAUAUCUUUCUUGAGUGCAGGAGAGGAAAGUGGAAUUCCUAGUGGAGCGGUGAAAUGCGUAGGUAUUAGGAGGAACACCAGUGGCGAAGGCGACUUUCUGGACUGUAACUGACGCUGAGGCUCGAAAGCCAGGGGAGCGAACGGGAUUAGAUACCCGGGUAGUCC